rnacentral:lncRNA from 1 species
AUGCCAGGCUGGGGGAACCUGCACCCCCAGACCGGGACUCUCCUCUGGGCCCGGGUUCCCCACGCAAAGGAAAGUUGCCGCCCCGUCCCCCGGGGGAGAUGCUGGGCUGCAGCCUGGACAGCCUUCUCGGCGGCGGCGGCGGCGGCGGCGGCAGCGGCGGGCAGGAGGGGAGCCCCGGCUGGCUGCUGGCUGGCUCCCGCGCGCCCUUUCUGCUCCUUCCUCUCUGGCUCUUCCUUCCCCGGGGUCCUCGCCUUCCCGGAGUGUUGGAGCGAGACGGAGACCUCGGCCUUUGCCGGCGGAAGCGUCGCAGCCCUCAGUCAAGGCAGACAUCACUCAAGAGCACCGAGAACAUGGUCCUUCUCAGCAGAGUGCUCUCGACAGCCAGCCAGUACUAAUCUAUCCAGGUUUGCCAUGCUGGCGAAGCUGUUGCGUGGAAAACAAAUCCUCGAGGUGCAUCUGAGAGAAUCAAGGCCCAAGAAGGUGGACUUGCCCAAGACGUGGCAGGUAAGUGCAUCUGUGAACCUACAGCCAGCUUUGGGGAGGUGUUGGGGGUGCCUUCUCAUGUUUGGAACAUACUGAAGAAGCCCCA